GAUGAACGCUGGCGGCGUGCCUAAUACAUGCAAGUCGAGCGAACAGACGAGGAGCUUGCUCCUCUGACGUUAGCGGCGGACGGGUGAGUAACACGUGGAUAACCUACCUAUAAGACUGGGAUAACUUCGGGAAACCGGAGCUAAUACCGGAUAACAUGUUGAACCGCAUGGUUCAACAGUGAAAGACGGUCUUGCUGUCACUUAUAGAUGGAUCCGCGCCGCAUUAGCUAGUUGGUAAGGUAACGGCUUACCAAGGCAACGAUGCGUAGCCGACCUGGGAGGGUGAUCGGCCAAACUGGAACUGAGACACGGGCCAGGCUCUUACGGGAGGCAGCGGUAGGGAAUCGUACGCAAUGGGCGAAAGCUUGACGGAGCAACGCCGCGUGAGUGUAGAAAGUAUUCUGGUCGUAAACCUCUGUUGUUAGGGAAGAACAAAUGUGUAAGUAGCUAUGAACGUCUUGACGGUACCUAAUCAGAAGGCCACGGCUAACUCCGUG
rnacentral:rRNA from 1 species